GUCCAUCAUGCAGGAGACAAACCAUUCACAAGAACAAAGAAACGGAGAGGAAGACAAGACUGGGAAGCAGGAACUAUAGGAUAACAGAGAGCAAACAGGACCCAUCGUAUCUAAUGUACCAGGAAUGCAAGGAGAGGCGAAAAGGAUUAGAGGACCAAUGUGCGGCAUGGGAAUUCUGUAUACCAGCGGUUCCCAACCUUUUCCGUUCCGGGAACCACCAAAUCACGGGAGAAAGCUUGAGGACGGCCUUUCAGGGAACUGUAAUAAAUCAAUCAUUGGAGAUGUUUUCAUGAAACACGUUUUACC